GAUGAACGCUAGCGACAGGCCUAACACAUGCAAGUCGAGGGGCAGCACAGAGGUAGCUUGCUACUUUGGGUGGCGACCGGCGCACGGGUGCGUAACAGGUGUGCAAUCUGUCCAUAAUCGGGGAAUAGCCCAGCGAAAGUUGGAUUAAUGCUCCAUGUGAGUAAUAGAGGCAUCUCUUUAAUUUGAAACGUAAGGAUUAUGGGUGAGCACGCUUCUGAUUAGGUAGUUGGUGAGGUAACGGCUCACCAAGCCGACGAUCAGUAGGGGUUCUGAGAGGAAGGUCCCCACAUUGGAACUGAGACACGGUCCAAACUCCUACGGGAGGCAGCAGUGAGGAAUAUUGGUCAAUGGGCGAAAGCCUGAACAGCCAAGUCGCGUGAAGGAUGAAGGUUCUAUGGAUUGUAAACUUCUUUGUCUGAGGGUAAAAAAAGACGGACGUGUCCGUUCUUGCAAGUAAUCAGACGAAAUAAAGCAUCGGC
rnacentral:rRNA from 1 species